UCUCUAAAAUUUGGUGGACUCACGACACUCGUGGCACACCAAUCUCACUUCCCAAACCCUAGGUAGAAACCCUAGGGUACACACCAAAAACCCUGCGUCCAAUUUUUUCUCUUUUCUUUCUUUUUCUCUCGGAAGGUUUUGGACCUUCACCUUACACAGAAGCCUUCCUCACGCCUCAAAGUUUCUCUCCUAAAAUUUCUACGUACAUCCCACCUUUCUCCUCUUUUUAAAACAACGUCAAACGUGUCUUAUCCGCGUGAGAGGAUAAAGACAAGAGGUUACACAUUUGAAUUCAAAUCAAAUUUGAAUUCAAACGAAAACCAACUUAUCCCUAUCCUUUUGGAUGUGAGAAGAGAAGGGGUGUGGCUCUUUGUGUGUGGAAAAUGUUUCAUGAGAAACCUUUUCUCGUGUAAGUAAUGUGGCACACAAAAUGGAUAAGGAUGAAAGGGCAAGUGAUAAGUUAUCCAUUCAAAUUCAAACAUGCUUUGAAUUUGAAUGGCUAACUAAUUAUUUUAUCCAUCCAUAUGGUGCACAAAUGAGGGCGUGGGGAAGGGUUUUGCAUGAGAA
rnacentral:lncRNA from 1 species